UCAAAGUUCGUACAUCAGCAUAGAGCUGUCGUGUGAUUGGGCCAAACUGACAAGCAAACUGAUUGGCUAAGGAAACUGACAGAGAUCAAACCUUUCCUGUUCUUGCAAUCCAAGGCUGCAUCUGAAAGAUUAAGCUCCUGCCCUAACAGAAAUCUACUUCACAGGCAGUGCUUGUUUAUGAAGUUACUUUAUGAAACUGAUUUCAGACAGACUUCUGAGACGGUUUAAUAGUUUAAUGACCUUGAACAAAAUAGAGGGAGCUUUGGUGAUAACUAAGCGAAUAUUUUAUUACUGCAGUCAGUACUAAUUUAUCGCUAGAAAUUACAUCUGAAGUGGAAGAAGUUAGUCAAAAACAACACACAAACUAACCAUCAACCUCAAAAUUCAGAGGCUUUUUUCCCCACAAAUUCAAACUAGAUAGACAGAUGAUGGAUGGAUGAAUGAAUGGAUAAUUAGAUAGGUAUUUGUGUGUGGAUGAAUGGGUAAUUACAUAGGUAUAUGUGAAUGGAUGGAUAGAUGGAUAGGUAGAUAGGUAGAUGAUUGAUGGAUGGAUGAAUGGGUAGAUAGACAGGUAUAUAGUGGAUGGAUGGUAGAUAGACAGGUAGAUGAUGGAUGGAUGGAUGAAUGGGUAGAUAGACAGGUAUAUAGUGGAUGGAUGGUAGAUAGACAGGUAGAUGAUGGAUGGAUGGAUGAAUGGGUAGAUAGACAGGUAUAUAGUGGAUGGAUGGUAGAUAGACAGGUAGAUGAUUGAUGGAUGGAUGGAUG